GGGUGCUUGCACCUAACAAGUUAGUAGACGAACGGGUGAGUAAUACAUAAGUCAACCUACCUAUUAGACUGGGAUAACUAUGGGAAACGAUAGCUAAUACCGGAUAGGUAACUUGAAGGCAUCUUUAAGUUAUUAAAGGUUAGAGACACUAAUAGAUGGGCUUAUGGCGUAUUAGUUAGUUGGUGAGGUAACGGCUCACCAAGACGAUGAUACGUUAGCCGGCCUGAGAGGGUGAACGGCCACAUUGGGACUGAGACACGGCCCAGACUCCUACGGGAGGCAGCAGUAGGGAAUUUUCGGCAAUGGGCGCAAGCCUGACCGAGCAACGCCGCGUGAGUGAAGAAGGCCUUCGGGUUGUAAAGCUCUGUUAUAAAUUAAGAAUGGCUAUAAGGGACUUAUAGAGAUGACUGAUUUACCAGAAAGCCACGGCUAACUACGUGCCAGCAGCCGCGGUAAUACGUAGGUGGCAAGCGUUAUCCGGAAUUAUUGGGCGUAAAGGGUGCGCAGGCCGGUUUGUUAAGUUUAAGGUGAAAGCGUGGGGCUCAACCCCAUACAGCCUUAGAAACUGGCAGACUAGAGUACAGAAGAGGGUAGUGGGAAUUUCAUGUGUAGCCGGUAAAAUGCGUAGAUAUAUGAAGGAACACCAGUGGCGAAG
rnacentral:rRNA from 1 species